rnacentral:tRNA from 1 species
AGGCGCGUAGCUCAGAGGCUGGAGCGCUUCCCUGACACGGAAGAGGUCGUUGGUUCAAGUCCAAUCGCGCCUA